AGAGUUUGAUCCUGGCUCAGGAUGAACGCUGACAGAAUGCUUAACACAUGCAAGUCGACUCGAGUCUUCGGACUUGGGUGGCGGACGGGUGAGUAACGCGUAAAGAACUUGCCUCAUAGUCUGGGACAACAUUUGGAAACGGAUGCUAAUACCGGAUAUUAUGCUUUCUUCGCAUGGAGGAAGUAUGAAAGCUAUAUGCGCUAUGAGAGAGCUUUGCGUCCCAUUAGCUAGUUGGUGAGGUAACGGCCCACCAAGGCGAUGAUGGGUAGCCGGCCUGAGAGGGUGAACGGCCACAAGGGGACUGAGACACGGCCCUUACUCCUACGGGAGGCAGCAGUGGGGAAUAUUGGACAAUGGACCAAAAGUCUGAUCCAGCAAUUCUGUGUGCACGAUGACGUUUUUCGGAAUGUAAAGUGCUUUCAGUCGGGAAGAAGCAAGUGACGGUACCGACAGAAGAAGCGACGGCUAAAUACGUGCCAGCAGCCGCGGUAAUACGUAUGUCGCAAGCGUUAUCCGGAUUUAUUGGGCGUAAAGCGCGUCUAGGCGGCAAGGAAAGUCUGAUGUGAAAAUGCGGGGCUCAACUCCGUAUUGCGUUGGAAACUGCCUUACUAGAGUACUGGAGAGGUAGGCGGAACUACAAGUGUAGAGGUGAAAUUCGUAGAUAUUUGUAGGAAUGCCGAUGGGGAAGCCAGCCUACUGGACAGAUACUGACGCUAAAGCGCGAAAGCGUGGGUAGCAAACAGGAUUAGAUACCCUGGUAGUCCACGCU
rnacentral:rRNA from 1 species